UAUUGAACCGCAUGGUUCAAUAGUGAAAGGCGGCUUUGCUGUCACUUAUAGAUGGAUCCGCGCCGUAUUAGCUAGUUGGUAAGGUAACGGCUUACCAAGGCAACGAUACGUAGCCGACCUGAGAGGGUGAUCGGCCACACUGGAACUGAGACACGGUCCAGACUCCUACGGGAGGCAGCAGUAGGGAAUCUUCCGCAAUGGGCGAAAGCCUGACGGAGCAACGCCGCGUGAGUGAUGAAGGUCUUCGGAUCGUAAAACUCUGUUAUCAGGGAAGAACAAAUGUGUAAGUAACUGUGCACAUCUUGACGGUACCUGAUCAGAAAGCCACGGCUAACUACGUGCCAGCAGCCGCGGUAAUACGUAGGUGGCAAGCGUUAUCCGGAAUUAUUGGGCGUAAAGCGCGCGUAGGCGGUUUUUUAAGUCUGAUGUGAAAGCCCACGGCUCAACCGUGGAGGGUCAUUGGAAACUGGAAAACUUGAGUGCAGAAGAGGAAAGUGGAAUUCCAUGUGUAGCGGUGAAAUGCGCAGAGAUAUGGAGGAACACCAGUGGCGAAGGCGACUUUCUGGUCUGUAACUGACGCUGAUGUGCGAAAGCGUGG
rnacentral:rRNA from 1 species